rnacentral:rRNA from 1 species
UACGUAGGGUGCAAGCGUUAAUCGGAAUUACUGGGCGUAAAGCGUGCGUAGGCGGUUUCUUAAGUCUGCUGUGAAAUCCCCGGGCUCAACCUGGGAAUGGCAGUGGAUACUGGGAGGCUAGAGUGUGUCAGAGGAUGGUGGAAUUCCCGGUGUAGCGGUGAAAUGCGUAGAGAUCGGGAGGAACAUCAGUGGCGAAGGCGGCCAUCUGGGACAACACUGACGCUGAAGCACGAAAGCGUGGGGAGCAAACAGG